AAAAAAAAUUGUUCCAUUCUACGGUACAACAAAAUUCAAAGGAAGAGAGUUGGAAAGUUGCGUGCGUGAUGAAGUAAAAGGGCUCUGAAGAGUGUUGCGAUUGCUUUGUUUGGUUUGUUCGCUGAAACAGAGAAUGGAAGUGAGCGGCAAAGUGAAGAUGGCUGCUUCUCUGUGGUUAGAAGGCAUAGGAGAAGCUUGUUGCCUUCACCGCGUUGUUCUUCUGUGUAUGAGGUCCAACAACCUUUUGAUGCGAACUGGCCAAUGUUUCCUCUUAAAUGGUUUCAUUUUCUUAGGAAGUAUAUUCGUCCUAAAGUCAGUUGUGAUCCCUGCAUUGUGGUGGAUAUUACCUGGUCAAUGCUCACAGUUUGUUUCUCAUGAACUGUGUGACUUAGGUGGCACUUUGAAAUUUUAUUCUUUCUUACGUCUUGCACUCAUUCAGCUCUGUUACGUGCUAUGGUUUUACCCAUUGUACGUGUUCAGCAUAGUUCUCAGCACAAUUUGGUACAAUGACAUUGCCAAGUAUGGGUAUGCUGCAAUGGGAAGAUCUAAGCUGACUGUAGAGAAAGGCUCAAGCCAAAACAACUCACCAAGUGUACAAAAUGCUCAUCAUGUAAAAGGACCGUCUGGCUUGGGAGGGGUCAUGAUCGGAAUAGGACAGCAGGUGUACUCGAUACUCCUUUUGAGUGUUUUUUUCCUUGAGGUAUAUGCAACAGGACUCAUACCAUAUAUAGGCAAGCUGAUUAAUUUUUUACUCCUUUCCUGGAUGUAUGCAUAUUACUGCUUCGAGUACAAAUGGAACUUCAAUGAAGUGGCUCUUGACAGAAGGUUGGACUACUUUGAGUCUUACUGGCCAUUUUUUGCGGGAUUCGGGAGCCCAUGUGUUUUGGCCAUAUUCUUUUUCUCUCCCCUUGUUAGUUAUGGGAUUAUGGCUAUACUUUUCCCACUGUUUGUUCUAACAGCAACUGGGUCAGAGUCAGAGCAAGAAAUAUCCUUCGAAAAACAUAAGUGGAGAGCUGCUGGAGUGGAAAGACUUCCAAUAUUUUAUGUUGCAGACAAAGUGUCGUUGUGGAUGUUAUCUCUUUUACCUCUGGAAAAAGGGGACCAGGUGCAAGACAGAAAAGAACAAUAAGGUUGUCGUGGUCAGUUAUUCUGGCAUUGCUGAUGACAAGUGAGAACACAAAAAGAUUUGUCCUCAAAGCCUGACCAAUUUUAUGUAACAACUGAUGUGAUGGGUUGCACACGUGAUUUCAGAAUUCAGACGCAGAGAGAUCCAAAAUCACCAAACUGGACCACAUUACAGACAAAAUUACUGUAUAGGAAUCUACUCCUUCCUAACAUUUCAUACAAACCAUGCUGUAUUUACAACAUUCAAAUUUCAAGUGUGCAUAUAUCUUUGAAGCAGUGUGAUGGAAUACUAAUGUCAGGGUUUGAGAUUUGUUUUGUUA